GGGGGGGGAGCUCAAUGAUAGAGUGCAUGCUUAGCAUGCACUAGGACCUGGGUUGAAUUCCCAGUGCCUCCA
rnacentral:tRNA from 1 species